UCCUACCUACCUACUACUUAAAAAGUUUUUAUGAACACAUUCUUUGAUAUCCUUUUCUUAGCCUAUAUCUAAAAGAAGAAGGAGGAGGAAUUUUAGAACCUCUAUUAGGAAAACUUGAAGAUUGCCUAAUAUACAGCCCUAUUCGUCCAGCUUUCUAGGUUUGCCCACUAAUGGUCACCCCCGAAAGUUGUAAAAGUUAGAAAAUUUCUGAAGGGUCUUCGUGCUAAUAUCUACG
rnacentral:lncRNA from 1 species